rnacentral:rRNA from 1 species
CAGCAGUCGCCACGGUAAUACGUAGGGCGCAAGCGUUAUCCGGAAUUAUUGGGCGUAAAGAGCUCGUAGGCGGUUUGUCGCGUCUGCCGUGAAAGUCCGGGGCUCAACCCCGGAUCUGCGGUGGGUACGGGCAGACUAGAGUGAUGUAGGGGAGACUGGAAUUCCUGGUGUAGCGGUGAAAUGCGCAGAUAUCAGGAGGAACACCGAUGGCGAAGGCAGGUCUCUGGGCAUUAACUGACGCUGAGGAGCGAAAGCAUGGGGAGCGAACAGGAUUAGAUACCCCGGUAGUCCCUGUCUCUUAUAC